rnacentral:lncRNA from 1 species
AGAACGGCCAGACCCUGCACCAUUGCUUGCGCCAACAGGCCGGCCAGACCCUGCACCAUUGCUAGCAGCACCAGCCCGGCCAGGACCAGAACCACUGUUAGCACCACCAGGCCGACCAGGCCCAGUACCAUUGCUUACACCACCAGGUCGGCUAGGCCCGGUACCAUUGCUAGCACCACCAGGCCGGCCAGGCCCCAUACCAUUGCUAGCACCACCAGGCCGGCCAGGCCCCAUACCAUUGCUAACACCACCAGGCCGGCCUGGCCCCAUACCAUUGCUAACACCAUGCUGCUUUCUAGAAUCCAUUGGCAUCCCAUUUGGUUUAAUGGUAGAAGACUUAAGGCUACCAGCUUUAGAUUGCAA